ensembl:rRNA 5S_rRNA 5S ribosomal RNA
GCUCACGGCCUUACCAGCUGAAGAAUGCCAAAUCUCAACUGAUCUUGGAAGCUAAGAAGGCUUGGGCCUGGUUAGUACUUGGAUGGGAGACUGCCUGGGAAUAAUAGGUGCCUUAAGCU